AGUUUAUCUUGUUUCAUGACCAUCGGAAUCUAGUCAAACUCCGGUUGACCGUCCAGUUCCCACCCAUAUCACCAUGGUGUCAUUUUCUCCGGCUUAGCAAGGGAUAUUGUUGCAUGCAACACUGGCCGGUGUGAAGCAACUCUGAUUAUGUAGGAGCAAUAGAUGGCACACAUGUGCUUGCAUCUGUUCCUAUCGAACUCCAAAAUAGGUGUCAUGGCCGCAAAGGCACAACACAAAAUGUCAUGGCUGCUGUCAGCUUUAAUUUGAAGUUCACAUAUGUGGUUGCUGGCUGGGAAGGAUCUGCUCAUGACUCACGCAUAUUAAAUGAUGCAUUGGAGAGCAUUUUCGUGUGAUUGAUAAUGAACCCUUUUGGGACUUUAAAACACAAGUGGAUGUGGUGUUAGCAUCGUGCAUUUUACAUAAUCACAUAACAGAUUUGGAGCCAAAUGACCCAAUAAUACAAGAAGUAGAGGGGCAACCACUAGUUCAAACACAAAAUGCUCAAAGUACUCAAAGUUCUCUAGGGAAUCAAACCUAUCAGACACCUAGAGAAAGACGUGAAGAAGCUAGGGAAUGGUCGUUGAAAAGAGAUGCCAUUGCUCAUGCCAUGUUUACAAAUUAUGAUCGGAGGAGGAAUAGAUGAAUAUAAUCUAUCAAGAAACAGUUUUUUAUUUAGUCAUCUUGGUUUUAGUUGUUUGUGUUUAAUUGUUUAUGUUUUCAUAUACUCUUAUGUACAUUGACUUUAUAUUUUAUAUGAUUUUGUUGUCCUGUCUCUAUUUAUCUUAAA